UACAGGGGGUGCAAACGUUGCUCGGAAUCAUUGGGCGUAAAGCGCGUGUAGGCGGCUAUGUAAGUCGGGCGUGAAAUCCCACGGCUCAACCGUGGAAGUGCACCCGAAACUGCGUAGCUAGAGUCCUGGAGAGGAAGGUGGAAUGCUUGGUGUAGAGGUGAAAUUCGUAGAUAUCAAGCGGAACACCGGUGGCGAAGGCGGCCUUCUGGACAGUGACUGACGCUGAGACGCGAAAGCGUGGGGAGCAAACAGG
rnacentral:rRNA from 1 species